rnacentral:rRNA from 1 species
AUUGAACGCUGGCGGGAGGCUUAACACAUGCAAGUCGAACGAGUGGCGGACGGGUGAGUAAUGUCUGGGAAACUGCCUGAUGGCGGGGGAUAACUACUGGAAACGGUAGCUAAUACCGCAUACCAUCAGAUGGGCCCAUAUGGGAUUAGCUUGUUGGUGGGGUAAAGGCUCACCAAGGCGACGAUCCCUAGCUGGUCUGAGAGGAUGACCAGCCACACUGGGACUGAGACACGGCCCAGACUCCUACGGGAGGCAGCAGUGGGGAAUAUUGGACAAUGGGCGCAAGCCUGAUGCAGCCAUGCCGCGUGUAUGAUGAAGGCCUUCGGGUUGUAAAGUACUUUCAGCAGGGAGGCGUUAUCUGCAGAAGAAGCACCGGCUAACUACGUGCCAGCAGCCGCGGUAAUUC